rnacentral:rRNA from 1 species
GACGAACGCUGGCGGCGUGCCUAAUACAUGCAAGUAGAACGCUGAAGAGAGGAGCUUGCUCUUCUUGGAUGAGUUGCGAACGGGUGAGUAACGCGUAGGUAACCUGCCUUGUAGCGGGGGAUAACUAUUGGAAACGAUAGCUAAUACCGCAUAACAAUGGAUGACCCAUGUCAUUUAUUUGAAAGGGGCAAAUGCUCCACUACAAGAUGGACCUGCGUUGUAUUAGCUAGUAGGUGAGGUAACGGCUCACCUAGGCGACGAUACAUAGCCGACCUGAGAGGGUGAUGGGCAACACGGGUACGGGGACAGGCCCCAGACCCCUAGGGGGGGCGGCAGUGGGGAAUCUUCGGCAAUGGGGGCAACCCUGACCGAGCACCGCCGGGGGAGUGAAGAAGGUGUUGGGAUCGAAAAGCUUUGUUGAAAGUAAAGAAGGGGUGGGGGGGGGAAAAUUACACACUGUGCGGGGACUUAACAAGAAAGGGCCGCUAAACUACGU